UUUUUGCAGACGCUGCGUUAGGGAUAGUAGUGGAAAUCCUUUUUUGGGGCAGGGCUUUUUUUUGGCCCUGCCCCAAAAAAGAUUGCAACGGAUAGCCCGGCCCCUU
rnacentral:sRNA from 1 species